rnacentral:piRNA from 1 species
UGAAUCUGUCUCGAAGGUGGUUUUGUG